rnacentral:rRNA from 1 species
UACGUAGGGGGCAAGCGUUGUCCGGAUUUAUUGGGCGUAAAGAGCGUGUAGGCGGCCAGGUAGGUGGGUUGUGAAAACUGGAGGCUCAACCUUCAGACGUCGACCCAAACCCCCUGGCUAGAGUCCGGAAGAGGAGAGUGGAAUUCCUGGUGUAGCGGUGAAAUGCGUAGAUAUCGGAGGAACACCUGUGGCGAAAGCGGCGCACUGGACCACAUCUGACGCUGAGGCGCGAAAGCAUGGGGAGCGAACAGG